rnacentral:tRNA from 2 species
GGCCUGGUAGCUCAGUUGGUAGAGCAGAGGAUUGAAAAUCCUUGUGUCGGUGGUUCGAUUCCGCCCCAGGCCACCA